ACGUACGUUGUUCCUUCUCUUCUAGCUCCAAGCUUUUUCCCUUAAACAAAUAUCCAAGAAGCCGUCGAACUCAGCCCUGCGUCGCCGUCGAACUCAGCCCUGCGUCGCCGUCGAACCCAAGCGUUGCUCAGCCCUGCGUCGCUGUCUUCGCCGGUGUGUGGUGUUCUCGCCUCAUCUCCCCCAUCCCGUUCAAUUCUCGCGCGGCCUGUCACUGAAAGAUAUAUUCUUGGUCGGCCGGGGGUUCAGCAUCUCCCCGUCGCGUCGUGGUUCCGGUGGUUGCUCGGCGUCGUGGUUCCGGUGGUUUCGGCAUAGUGCCCAGGAAGAUGAGGAGAAUGGUUCUAAUUUAUUGAGGAGAACGACAAUUGGGAAUGGACCUCCAAAGGCUAUAUUGGACUAUAUUGGACUGGACCCGUGAAAUUGACUCGGAUCUAUCCCAAAGUGCUAAUACUCAAGUCUUUUCUCGGAAGCAUUGGCGUCUUCUUCAAUGUCAAAAUGGGCUUCGUAUUUUUGAAGAGCUUUCUGAAGUUUAUUACCUU